rnacentral:rRNA from 1 species
AGUAAUGUCUGGGAAACUGCCUGAUGGAGGGGGAUAACUACUGGAAACGGUAGCUAAUACCGCAUAACGUCGCAAGACCAAAGAGGGGGACCUUCGGGCCUCUUGCCAUCGGAUGUGCCCAGAUGGGAUUAGCUAGUAGGUGGGGUAACGGCUCACCUAGGUGACGAUCCCUAGCUGGUCUGAGAGGAUGACCAGCCACACUGGAACUGAGACACGGUCCAGACUCCUACGGGAGGCAGCAUG